GGCGNUCAGGAAAGUCUGGAGUAAAAGGCUAUGGCUCAACCAUAGUGUGNUCUGGAAACUGUCUGACUUGAGUGCAGAAGGGGAGAGUGGAAUUCCAUGUGUAGCGGUGAAAUGCGUAGAUAUAUGGAGGANCACCAGUGGCGAAAGCGGCUCUCUGGUCUGUCACUGACGCUGAGGCUCGAAAGCGUGGGUAGCGAACAGGAUUAGAUACCCUGGUAGUCCACGCCGUAAACGAUGAGUGCUAGGUGUUAGGCCCUUUCCGGGGCUUAGUGCCGGAGCUAACGCAAUAAGCACUCCGCCUGGGGAGUACGACCGCAAGGUUGAAACUCAAAGGAAUUGACGGGGGCCCGCACAAGCGGUGGAGCAUGUGGUUUAAUUCGAAGCAACGCGAAGAACCUUACCAGGUCUUGACAUCCCGAUGCUAUUCUUAGAGAUAGGAAGUUACUUCGGUACAUCGGAGACAGGUGGUGCAUGGUUGUCGUCAGCUCGUGUCGUGAGAUGUUGGGUUAAGUCCCGCAACGAGCGCAACCCUUAUUGUUAGUUGCCAUCAUUAAGUUGGGCACUCUAGCGAGACUGCCGGUAAUAAACCGGAGGAAGGUGGGGAUGACGUCAAAUCAUCAUGCCCCUUAUGACCUGGGCUACACACGUGCUACAAUGGUCGGUACAACGAGUUGCGAGCCGGUGACGGCAAGCUAAUCUCUGAAAGCCGAUCUCAGUUCGGAUUGGAGGCUGCAACUCGCCUCCAUGAAGUCGGAAUCGCUAGUAAUCGCGGAUCAGCACGCCGCGGUGAAUACGUUCCCGGGCCUUGUACACACCGCCCGUCACACCACGAGAGUUUGUAACACCCGAAGUCGGUGAGGUAACCUUUUAGGGGCCAGCCG
rnacentral:rRNA from 1 species